rnacentral:rRNA from 1 species
UACGAAGGGGGCUAGCGUUGCUCGGAAUCACUGGGCGUAAAGCGCACGUAGGCGGAUUCCUAAGUCGGUGGUGAAGUCCUGGAGCUCAACUCCAGAACUGCCUCCGAUACUGAGAGUCUUCGAGUCCGGGAGAGGUGAGUGGAACUGCGAGUGUAGAGGUGAAAUUCGUAGAUAUUCGCAAGAACACCAGUGGCGAAGGCGGCUCACUGGCCCGGUACUGACGCUGAGGUGCGAAAGCGUGGGGAGCGAACAGG